rnacentral:RNase_P_RNA from 2 species
CAAGAGAAUCUCAACACCCCUCGCAUGUGAGAAAUUCGGAGUAGCCUCUUCAACAACGAUCUCUUUUGAUCAAACCGCUGUCACUGUUCCCCGGUUUUCGGGCUUCUUUGCCUGGGAAUAGGGGAGGGAAGGACGGGUCUGCCCGUGAGGGCCCGGCGUCAAUUGACGUCCGCAGUUUGGCAUCAGAAAUAUCAGGGCCGUCCACCUGGAGGAUGUUCGGGGAAAUGUUUGGUUUCCUCGCGUCUUUUUCCGGGGGAUUGUUUUGCUCUAUGGGAAGCCACUGCGAAGAUUGUGUGUGAUAACACUUGAGUGCGAUGCGUGGCGUAGUCUUCUCCAUUUAUGGAGGGACUAUAAUUCGAUUCCGAUUAUUCUUCUUG